rnacentral:lncRNA from 1 species
AGGACCCACUCACCUCUCCCCAGGCUGGACCCAGGCGUCUCCUGAGAGAGCCGAGUUCAUGUGAAGACUCUCCCUCCUGCGAGGCUCCCGCCCACUGAUCCAUCCGGACUAAACUCUUCAGCUCCCAAAGCUGCCCUGGUUCCUGCAGUCUGGGGAGUCAGGGAGUCAGGGAGGACUUGAAGUCACUCACCUGGAAGCCCGUGUGCUGCGGGGCUGAGGUUGAGGCUCCCACAGGAGGAGCUGAGGGUGGCAUCUGAGAACAAGUGGUUUAUUUGGGAGGUGGCCCGAGGAAGUGAGGCUCCCCACAGGAGGAGCUGAGGGUGGCAUCUGAGAACAAGUGGUUUAUUUGGGAGGUGGCCCGAGGAAGUGAGGCUCCCCACAGGAGGAGCUGAGGGUGGCAUCUGAGAGCAGGUGGUUUAUCUGGGAGGUGGCCCCAGGAAGCGGACCGGGGAAGGCACCUUGCCCAGCAGUUUGACCUUGUGGGCAGCUCAUGCUGGGCCUGUGGGGCCUCCCGGGGAUGCGAUGAUCCCCACAGGAGGAAUCCGUGGUGUUUAUCUACCUGCUCCUGCUUGGUGGGGGCAGGAGUGGUUUUCUACUGCUAAGGAGCCCCACUGCGGAUGGGAUGUUUGGUUGGCACCUUCCAGUCACCUGCACAGCCCCAGGGCAGGCCCUUGGCUUUUCUUCCCAUCCUGGCAACAAGAAGGGGAUGUGGCUGAAAACACCCCACACC